GCAUGGCUGAAUUCUGUAUUACUUUGCAUGUAGUAAACACAGUCAGACACCAUGCGAAAGUAACGUUUUCACAAACUGUCCUAACAAGAACAGAGUGCUCAUUACAUGCCUCAUUCUUAUGUCAGGGUGAAAACAACA